rnacentral:rRNA from 1 species
AUUGAACGCUGGCGGCAUGCCUUACACAUGCAAGUCGAACGGUAACGCGGGGCAACCUGGCGACGAGUGGCGAACGGGUGAGUAAUGCAUCGGAACGUGCCCAGUAGUGGGGGAUAGCCCGGCGAAAGCCGGAUUAAUACCGCAUACGACCUACGGGUGAAAGCGGGGGAUCGCAAGACCUCGCGCUAUUGGAGCGGCCGAUGUCGGAUUAGCUAGUUGGUGGGGUAAAGGCCUACCAAGGCAACGAUCCGUAGCUGGUCUGAGAGGACGACCAGCCACACUGGGACUGAGACACGGCCCAGACUCCUACGGGAGGCAGCAGUGGGGAAUUUUGGACAAUGGGCGCAAGCCUGAUCCAGCCAUGCCGCGUGCGGGAAGAAGGCCUUCGGGUUGUAAACCGCUUUUGUCAGGGAAGAAACGGUCUGGGUUAAUACCUCGGACUAAUGACGGUACCUGAAGAAUAAGCACCGGCUAACUACGUGCCAGCAGCCGCGGUAAUAC